UACGUAGGUGGCAAGCGUUUGUCCGGAUUUACUGGGCGUAAAGAGCGCGCAGGCGGUCGUUCAAGUCGCGUGUGAAAGCCCCCGGCUCAACUGGGGAGGGUCACGCGAUACUGAUCGACUCGAAGGCAGGAGAGGGUAGUGGAAUUCCCGGUGUAGUGGUGAAAUGCGUAGAUAUCGGGAGGAACACCAGUGGCGAAGGGCGACUACCUGGCCUGUUUCUUGACGCUGAGGCGCGAAAGCUAGGGGAGCGAACGGGG
rnacentral:rRNA from 1 species